GUAAAUUAUUUCUCUAAACCCAUAACCUAUAUAACCUUUAAAUACCUUUAAAUAAAAAACCUUACGUAUUUUCUUGGGUAAAUUACCAUUAUUAUUAUUUCCAGAUUGUUUUGGUAUUCAAACACCCUCUCCCCGCCUUGGUAAUAUAUAUGCUAAAAAUUAUAAUUUGUAUUAUGUGCAGUUGUCCAUUAAAUUUCUACAGAUAAUAUGUUGUAUUACGUAUAGAUAAAUAUUAAACAUAAUAUGUAUAUUAUCUGUUAUAUUCGCACGGUAAAAUUACAAAGUUACAUCAAAAUACAAAAUAAAAUUCCCCCCUAAAAAAAUUACGUCACUG